ensembl:lncRNA
GAAAACCCCUGCUAGAGAGCCUCCCCAACCGCCACUCCCAUGACAUUCCCUGCCUCGUGGUGUGGCAGGCCGGGCCUGCUCAGAUAUAUGGGGCAGUCCGGUGUCAGGCUUUCAACCUGAAAGGGUUUUUGGGCUUAGCUGUUUGCAACGUGGUCAGGGUCGAGGCAGUAACCCGGCACCCGGUACUGGACCACCAUGACGCUGGUCUCACACACCUCGGACACGCUGGACAUUACCAACGCCGGCCGGGGCCGGCUUCAGCAGCCGCAGACGGUAGCCUUGUGGGUGGCGGCGUCGUUGAGCUCUUCGUCAAGCUACGCCAGAGGAAGGAGCUCGGUGGUGGAUAGAAAACGCCUGAUAUGACUUGCGGGAGUCAAUCAAACCUCUCGUGCACCUGUGACCUACAAGACAUGGGAAAAAAUCUCCCGGCGGAAGAUAUUACAUGAGGACACACUGGGAUCUGCUAAUGCACUGGAGGAAAGAACGGAAGGCAGAACAUGGAAGAAGAGCUCAAGAAAACAGAUUUCCUAGAAAUGUGUCAUUACCGUAUAUUCACAGAGCUGAUGCUGAUAACUUGAUGGAUGGACACAGUUUUGGUGUGACCUAAAAUUAUGUUUUCUGUUUGUAUGCUGAUUAAUGCCUAAUGACCAGAAAACAUUUCUAAGAGUCAGUAUGUCCUAUCAUUGUACCAAAGGUGCUGGUGUGGAAAAGCUGUUUAUUUCUUUGAUAACAAUAGCACCCACAUGUAACUUCUGCUGUCCUUCAGAAAUGUCUAAAUUAUUUCCGUCCAGUUCGACAUUGUCCUUUCAUGCCCACCUGUUAAACAGUUGUUGCUGUUGACACACAGUGGAUCCUCAUGUUUCUGUGGGUGAAAUAGAAGUGUGACUGUAGUUCUGUGUGUUAGUUAUAACAGGCGGUAGGGUUGUCUGACUGUAGUUCAGUGUGUUAGUUUUAACAGGCGGUAGGGUUGUCUGACUGUAGUUCAGUGUGUUAGUUAUAACAGGCUGUAGGGUUGUCUGACUGUAGUUCAGUGUGUUAGUUAUAACAGGCGGUAGGGUUGUCUGACUGUAGUUCAGUGUGUUCGUUAUAACAGGCGGUAGGGUUGUCUGCCUGUAGUUCAGUGUUUUCAUUAUAACAGGCGGUAGGGUUGUCUGACUGUAGUUCAGUGUUUGUUAUAACAGGCGGUAGAUUUUUCUGACUGUAGUUCAGUGUGUUAGUAAUAACAGGCGGUAGGGUUGUCUGACUGUAGUUCAGUGUGUUCAUUAUAACAGGCGGUAGGGUUGUCUGACUGUAGUUCAGUGUGUUAGUUUUAACAGGCGGUAGGGUUGUCUGACUGUAGUUCAGUGUGUUAGUUAUAACAGGCUGUAGGGUUGUCUGACUGUAGUUCAGUGUGUUAGUUAUAACAGGCUGUAGGGUUGUCUGACUGUAGUUCAGUGUGUUAGUUAUAACAGGCUGUAGGGUUGUCUGACUGUAGUUCAGUGUGUUCGUUAUAACAGACUGUAGGGUUGUCUGACUGUAGUUCAGUGUGUUAGUAAAAACAGGCGGUAGGGUUGUCUGACUGUAGUUCAGUGUGUUAGUUAUAACAGGCGGUAGGGUUGUCUGACUGUAGUUCAGUGUGUUCAUUAUAACAGGCGGUAGGGUUGUCUGACUGUAGUUCAGUGUGUUCGUUAUAACAGGCGGUAGGGUUGUCUGACUGUAGUUCAGUGUGUUUGUUAUAACAGGCGGUAGAUUUUUCUGACUGUAGUUCAGUGUGUUCGUUAUAACAGGCGGUAGGGUUGUCUGACUGUAGUUCAGUGUGUUUGUUAUAACAGGCAGUAGAUUUUUCUGACUGUAGUUCAGUGUGUUCGUUAUAACAGGCUGUAGGGUUGUCCGCACUGCCUGUGUUACUUUACCAUAUAAUAAACUGGAUGAUGGAUAAAAGCAGGUUCAACUUGUUUUGUUUAUUUUGAUGGAUAGUAAUGCAAUAGAGUAAUGCUGCAAAUGUGUUCAAACCAGGAAUAACAGACUGCUACCAACCUGCAUAAAGAGGUAUACUUUAUACCAAACCCUGGAAAAACAAGUUUUCCAAAAUAAAUGUUUUGACUACGGAUGACACGUUAAACACAUUCCAAACAACCACUCAAUCAUUUCCACAUUGACGAAGGAUCUGGAUUCAGCAUAAUGAAAUCAAAAACAGACCCCUUCAUCAAAAAGCUCUGUGAGCUGUGAGGUGAUCUGAUGGGGUUGACCCCUCACCCCCUCCCAACAGGGGCCGGAUGGGGAGGGGGCCGGGGGAGAUCACACGACGGCCCUGUUCUGGCUCCAUGUCCACACAGACUGGCCUGUUCAGAGAGCUUCAUUUUGAAGAGAGCGCCAGGUGGCAGCGAUGUGGGCAGCAGGCUUUUGAAGCUGACCUCUGGUCCCAAGCCUGGGAUGACCCUAGUCAUUGAUCCUGGCGGGGGAGGGGGGGCAGGUGUUCCUUGCAGGGAUGGGCACGGAGGACAGUAGUCAGGUCCAGACCGCUCCAAGUCACGUCGCCAGCCCGAGCACAAGGUUUUAACUGGCUGUCAUGUUGUGGACCAGGUGAUGUGCUGGGAGCUCUCGGUUUCAAUCCGUAUUGACUGAUUUCUGAAAAAGGAGCAACACCCCCGCUUUAAACAUUUAAAAACAAUGUGCCUGCAUUGGCCAAAACCACGUUCACUGUAACCUUUACGUCAGCUCAUUCUGUACGUACUGAGAAGCCGGCGCAGAACGUCUGAGAUACAGACUGAAUCGACCACAUACAGCUCACCAGCAAUGUAUCGCUGAUAUGUGGACAGUUUGACUGGAGGCCCUUUUGACUGAAAUUAGGUGAUUGACUGAGGUAAAGGAACAUGGUGACCAGUGGUGACUCACUCCCCAACCAGGUGAUUCCCUAACCAGGUGACUCCCUAACCAGGUGACUACCUAACCAGGUGACUACCUAACCAGGUUAUAGUGGAAAACACAGACAUAAGUGCUAUGUGAGAGAGCAGAAUGCUUCAUUUUUUUCUCAGGUGUUGUAAUGUUGCGCUGUACGAUCCCAAUUCGCCCUGUUUGCCAGCGGCAGAAAUGAAAUGAUGCAGCCGAAGGAAAUCAGAAUCAUUAUGUGCAUUAUAAUUGAUGGACGUUUUUGUAGAAGUUGAUGCAUUUUUCAUGAGGGAAAAUUAAGUCAGAAAUAUCAAAGUGGAAGUUACUACCAUCAGAAGCCUUUUAACCCUCCAAUGUUCACAGAGAAAUGUUCUUGGAUUGCAGGGUGAUCAGAUUAAGAUCCUAAACCUGUAACAAUAUCUGGCAUUAAAAUAAUGAGGAAAAAACAAACACGUUCUUUUGAGUGUGAUUUUCGGGGGUGUGGUGUUAAAUCUUCAUUUGACUCGAGUGUUUAAAUAAAAAAAUUAUAAUAUAUGCCUGGAAUAAAUGAGCACUAAAAGCCAAUGAGAAAUUGUCGUUUCAAAUGUGCGCGCUCCCACACACCCAUGCUUCAUGUUUUAGUGUUGGAGUGGCGCAGCCUGGUUCUCAUUCAUAAGGAGCUGACGUGCUUCAGAGUACACGGAAGAAGAAAAUACCAGGGCAGUGUGUGUGUAUCUGGGCCAGGCUUAGAGGAGGUUGGUGUUAUCAGUAUCUAAGCACAGUACCUCAUGAUGUUGUUUGCACAGACACACACACACACACACACACACACACACACACACACACAGAAACACAAAUAAGCACGCUCGCACACACACAGCCAAAAGACAGGGACUCUAAUCCUGACACUCCUCCCUGGGGCUGGAUGUCAAAGCAGGGCACUCAGAAAGAGGAGGGAAGAAAAAAAAAGUUGUGUCAGAUUCCGACAGCAGCCAAUUGGAGAGAAGUGCUUUAUACUUGGUUCCCCUGGCGUUCAUCAUCUCCCAGUCCGUAUCAUAGGCUCUAACCACUAGCCCACAAACAGCCCAGCCCAAAGACACAACCCAGGGAGGAUUGGUGGAGAUGCAACGAGAGAAGGGAUGGAAAGAUGGAAGGAGAGAUGGAAGGAGGUGGGUGGAGAGGUGGAUGGAGAGAGGGAUGGAGGUGGAAGGAGAAAUGGGUGGAGAAAUAGGAAGGAGAGAGCACUGAGAGAUGCAAGGAGAGAUGGGUGGUGAGGUGGAAGGAGAGAGGGAUGGAGAGAGGGAUGGAUGGAGGGAUGGAGGGAGAGAGGGAAGGAGAACAGGUGGGGGAAAACAGCAGCCAUGCAUGGUGAGUUAUUAUUAAUAAAGCAUUAUAAACGUGAGUACAUCAAAGCUUGCAGGGCCCAUGCUAUCACACAUGAAAGUAACAUACUAUGGCUUAAUGUCUCCUAAGGCGUGUUAUGGUGACGCCGCUUCCAUUUCAAAUGCAUUGUGUGGCGAAUGGAUUCGUGUGAGUGGAGAGAGGAACGUGGCACGGGUGCAGACGGUAAUUUAAAACCUGACCUCAUAGGCUCUUCAAAGCCUCAGUGGAGGAGGAUGUUUAGUGCUUACUGAUGUAGGAGAGCCGAGAUGCAACAAACAGCAGCAUACGUGUGUCCUGGCCAGGGACCAGGCCACACAACACACUCCCAAUGCUCAGGCAACGACAGGCGGAUUUCACAAAUAUUUCUUUAUUCGUUCAUUUUGCUCCAGUUAUCAAAUCACAUAGCACAUUCAACGAUCAGGAAAAAUAUCAACUUGAUGUUAUAAUUUUCUCUUUUUCUGCCACACAAACCGUGAAUCCUGAGUUUGGCAGCGUUGCGGUAAUGGAGACGGCUGCGAGGUAAGCCCCCCCCCCCCCGACACCAGGUAAUUAUCCUAAUCUAGCCUCCUCCUCUGCUCCUGCGCUCCUCCACCACACCAUGCGGCUUUGGACCACCUCCAUGGCUUCAUUAUGAACACUGGGAGUGACUAAUGGCUUGGCUCUGUCGGAGCUGGAGGAGAGGCAGCUGAGGAGAGAUGGAGGGACCGAAGGGGGGGCGGGGUAGAUACAGCACUGAAGGUUAACAUCUCAAUCACUCAGGACAAUACUGGCAGUCUGUCAGCUUUUCAGACGUCACCCUGAAAAGGAACGUGAAUCACAUCACAGAGUCAGUGAAGUGAAGAGGACCCUUCGGAGUGUGUGUUUUGAGUGGGUUUUUAUGUGUGUGUUUUAGGGUGUGUCUUCUACUAUCCUGGGAGGGACCAAAUUCCCCAUUGAUAAAAACAAGGAAAAUCUGACCUUGUAGGGAGAUUUUGUCCAUACCAGGAAUUGCAUGUUUUAUUUUCGUGGGUAAGGUUUCGUGUAGAGGGAUUAAGUUUAGGUUUAAUGGGUUAGGGCAGAAAUAAUUUGGAAUGGGGAUCAUUAGUGUGUGUGUGUGUGUGUGUGUGUGUGUGUGUGUGUGUGUGUGUGUGUGUGUGGGGGAUAGACCAGCUAUGGAAUCGGUGUGGUUCGAGAGACAGGUCCUGUAAUCAGACGGGUCGACACAUGCACGACAACAUUGAAAGCCUCCCUGUCUCUUGGAAACAGGCGUUUAAUGUACAGAAGGACUGGGGGUGGUAACUCUGCUCCACUUCUUUGCUUUCCCUUUUUUUUUUUGACAAAGUGACACCCUUGAUGGUUAGAAAAAUGUUUGGGUCCCUGAACAGAUUUCUUCAAUCCGAAAAUAAAACGUGUGACAUCAAGACAAAAAGACAGACAUUUUCAAACCUACAUAUGAACCCCUAAAGAGAGCAGUGACAACUGGCACCCCUCCCCCGUCCCUUCUGUGUCAGCACUGUUUUUCCUCUCCACAAUUCGUCAUAUAAUCUAACUGUGACAUAUAGAUAUAUAGAUAUAUAGAUAGAUAGAUAUCACCAAGUGAUUGAGGAAACGCUUUGAGAUAUUCUGAGCUAAAUGCCGUGUAAACACACUGGCGGUUGUUCACCUCUGAGGUGAGAUCCGGGUGGCGCCCGGUCAUUGUUGGCCCAAAACACGGCGAUAAGGUGGAGAGGUAAUAAACAGCCAGAGUCAAUACACCCCACUGGGCCGCGUGGCCUCAAACAAACAAGACCAAUUGCUCUAGCAGGCCCCGGAAACUAGUUGGAAACAUCAAUUACAGUAAAUUACACCAAAACAAUGGGAAACACUUGCAUUUGUUUAAUCUCCUGAGCUGUUCUGGGUGAAAGCAAGGGGUGUUGGAGUAACAUAACGCAGCUCAAAGACAUUACCCAGUCCACCCCCUUAAUGUUUGUACAUACAGCAGAGAGUGGGUUAUUUAUAUUAAGCUCCCCAGGACGUACUAGAAAAGCCUUAUUUCUCUGUAAGCAUCAACUUCAAAUAAUGUUUUCAAAGUGCAGCGCACUUCAUGGAUGUAGUUGGAUUCCAAAAAGGAGGCCUGUGUGGGCGUCCCGUGACCCUGAAAAUGCAUGGCAGCUGCAGGCGUCCGGAGUUUCAUAUCAGUGAAAGUAGCCAAAGCUUCCCUGUAACACACAGGGCAUUAUGUGUUUGUGCAGGGAAGAAAAACACACAUCAUGAAACAGGGCGGACAGGGAACAGAAAUCUGGCCUACCGUUUUUGUUCUUGAGUUCCUCAUACCAGCCCAGUUUUCCAAUAGACUAAUAAAGGAAGAGAAAAUGGAGCAUCUCCCCUGUAAUGCCAGAUGGCUGGUCGGCCGCAGUCAUGCAAUAACAAAAGAAUUGUAUGUCACAGUUCUGGGAUAGAGGCCUCUAAAUUCUCGCUUUGGUCGACUUUAAAUAGGAGAUAAGACAAUGGACCAAAUCCUGACUGUGCUUGCCCUCAUUCUCUCUGCGCAGAAAACACACAACGGCCUGUCUACUAAAUUGUAGCUCUUUCCUAGCAACUCAAACAGUAACUAUACACCAAAACAAAAAGCGCAAAAACUUCAACCAAACACUGUAAUGUUUCAAUGAGCCGCUCAGCCAUGGUUGAUUAUCCAGGGAGGGUGUUAGCUGGAUGCAGGGGACAGACAGAUGAAGAUUUGGCCGUUCCAGAAAGCCUUUCAGAAGGGUUUGGAGUAAAUGAAAGACAAAUGCCAGUAGUGACCACUCAGCUAUUUUCCCAGUCAAGAUCAAAGGCUCCGGCGGACCGGCCUCUCCGCGGGAAACUUGAAAUAGGCCCUGCCUUUGUUUGCUGUUGCUAGGAGACCUGCAGACAGCGGAAAGUGUUUGCAGUGCAUGGAGAACAAGAUCAAAAACCUUUCCAAUAUAAAUGUCUUAGACCGCCAUGGAUCCUGGGCCUGGGCUUGCAAUUUACAGAAGGCACACGAAAACAUUAGAGAAAUAAUGAUUUCUCUGUGUGUUGGCCAUUGACUGAACUGAAGAUUUUCUUGUUGGCAAAAUAGGUAGUUUAAUAGUGACAGGUUUGGAUGUGUCCAGGCACUGGCACAGAUUACAGCACCACACUGCAUCGUUUGAAUGGGUAAAAACAAAACACCUACAUUGUGUAUAUUGGUUAGCAGUCAAAUUCUCUUUCUCCCAAUCUACCUCUCUCUCACACACCCACACAUACACAAACACACACAUUCCCUCACCGACAAACAGUUUACCAAUACGGCCCACAUCCAGUUUGAUAUUUAUAGGGCUGUGGUUCACCUAAGCCACAAUGCUAAUUAUCUUUUAAUGGGUCUCGUGAUAGUCGGGUUGCCUGCUUGUGCGUGGGUGCGAAUCAGCUAUUAGUAGGUCAACAGACACACAACAGAGAUGUCCAAACCAGCUAGAAAACACACAGGAGACUACUGAUAUUUACAAGACUGUAAUUCAGAAAGAAGAAAUAUAUAGAUGGCUGUGCAGGCUUGUACUGCGCUCUGAGAGUGUAGUACAGUGCCCAUCGUCUGGUCUGUCUCCUGACUACCCAAGUACAAUGUCACUUGAUGUCUCAGUAAAUAUUUAGGUCUUUGUUUAAUAAUAACAGGCGUGUGUUAUAGGCAUAGCGACCCGCUCAGUGAUGAAUAAACAGUCCCAGUGAGCCAGGCCUGGCAAAUCUUCUCAUCCUGAAUUACAUAACAUCAUUUGGAGGCAAAUACAUGGCCUUGUUUAACCUAUGUGUCUGGAAAACUAAGGAGUCUCCUCUCUGAUCUUCCAGUUAGGAAAGGUAGCCUACAUAUUGUACGUAAUGAAUAUCUUGUGCAUAAUGCAAAACAUGUUGUGAGAGAAACUAUUUAAACAACAUUAACAUUGUGUGUACAGUUUUGUCAACCUCAGUAACUGCAGGGAGUAUCUAUCAGAAGAGUGUCCCGUGUUACCUCGGAAGGUUGCGUCCGACAUUUGACAUUUUCACCAGUUUACACUAUAAAAUACAGUAACUCUGAUGCAAAUCAAGCAACAAGGCUCAAAGUUACAGUUGCAUGUACCAUAUAAGGAGGUUCAGUUGAAGCCAUGUAAACACAUGCAUAUCCAGUAUAAGGAGUUUCUAUAGAAGCCAAUUAAACACAUGCAUGUGAAUUUGUUUCUAACAUGUCAGGCAGACAUGUAUUACUGCUCACACAAUUUGUCUGUAUUGCAUAUUUGUAAAAAAUAAAAAUAAAUAACGAGGUCUUUCUGACUUCUUAGCUUGCUUUGAGGAUUUCUUUUUUUCUGUCUUUUUCUGAUUAUAUUCAAAUGUUCACAUUUGUCAUUUAGCAGGAUGUAGAAGGAAAUACUGUGCAUUGGUUUAUUUAUUUGGCCUAAAAUGUUGAUAAACGAUGACUUAUUUACAUUAUCAGCACAGCAAUGAAACCAUGUCGGUCGGAUUAAUGCUUAUGUCCCAAAAUGAAUGUGGAGGGAAAACAGCUUCCUGGAAACACUGCUGUUAGUGGUCUCAUGUGAUGGUAAUGUCAGUUAUACAUUUAGACUGAGGAUACAACGACAGCCACCCUCCGUUGCUGACAUGACAAGAGUGAUGCCUUUGGUGGACAAUGAACGCGUAAACCAAUAGAACAAAAGGGGAAAUAAGGCUGUUCAGCGACGUACAAGGAAGAGUUAACACAAUCAUUUACACAUUUCUAUGGGUAGAUUUUGGACAGGCUACUUUGAAACAUAAAGGUAGACAUGCCCCUUAAAAUGACAUAAAAUAUUGUGAACAAUUACUUCAAUGGAUGAAUAGCUUCAACAUGCUGACAGCCUCAGUUUGAAGGUGGCUGAUGUGUGCAGCGCUUUUCGAGAACUGUCCUUAAUCUCCGACCACAGAAUCUGAAUGAACCAUGAAUUCGAGUAUUUCAACAGCAAUAAGCUGUUAGAUAUGUAUCUUAACUAGCCGACAGGAUAUGUUAAAAAUAUGAUUGGCUAUCUGGAAAGUUUUACAAUAAUUACCUUUUAUUUUUAUGACAUGAAACCUUUUAUGCCAUCCCUCCCCCUGCCCGUACAUUUCAAAAGAUCACUUCUGCAUCAGAAAUUGUGACUAAUGUUAAAUAAGUGUUUUUU